AGAGCGAACGCUGGCGGCAGGCCUAACACAUGCAAGUCGAGCGCCCCGCAAGGGGAGCGGCAGACGGGAGAGUAACACGUGGGAACGUACCCUUCAGUUCGGAACAACCCAGGGAAACUUGGGCUAAUACCGAAUACGUCCGUAAGGAGAAAGAUUUAUCGCUGAAGGAUCGGCCCGCGUCUGAUUAGCUAGUUGGUGAGGUAACGGCUCACCAAGGCUACGAUCAGUAGCUGGUCUGAGAGGAUGAUCAGCCUCACUGGGACUGAGACACGGCCCAGACUCCUACGGGAGGUAGCAGUGGGGAAUAUUGGACAAUGGGCGCAAGCCUGAUCCAGCCAUGCCGCGUGGAUGAUGAAGGCCUUAGGGUUGUAAAGUCCUUUCGGCGGGGAAGAUAAUGACGGUACCCGCAGAAGAAGCCCGGCUAACUUCGUGCCAGCAGCCGC
rnacentral:rRNA from 1 species